rnacentral:rRNA from 1 species
UACGUAGGGUGCAAGCGUUGUCCGGAAUUAUUGGGCGUAAAGAGCUCGUAGGUGGCCUGUCGCGUCGGCUGUGAAAACUCGGGGCUCAACUCCGAGCUUGCAGUCGAUACGGGCAGGCUAGAGUUCGGCAGGGGAGACUGGAAUUCCUGGUGUAGAGGUGGAAUGCGCAGAUAUCAGGAGGAACACCGAUGGCGAAGGCGGCGCUCUGGGCCGGUACUGACACUGAGGAGCGAAAGCGUGGGUAGCAAACAGG